CACCUACGGGUGGCUGCAGUAAGGAAUAUUGGUCAAUGGACGAAAGUCUGAACCAGCCAUGCCGCGUGGAGGAUGAAGGUCCUCUGGAUUGUAAACUUCUUUUAUCUGGGACGAAAAAAGAUCUUUCUAGAUCGUCUGACGGUACCAGAUGAAUAAGCACCGGCUAACUCCGUGCCAGCAGCCGCGGUAAUACGGAGGGUGCAAGCGUUAUCCGGAUUCACUGGGUUUAAAGGGUGCGUAGGUGGGUUGGUAAGUCAGUGGUGAAAUCUUCGAGCUUAACUCGGAAACUGCCAUUGAUACUAUCAGUCUUGAAUAUUGUGGAGGUUAGCGGAAUAUGUCAUGUAGCGGUGAAAUGCUUAGAUAUGACAUAGAACACCAAUUGCGAAGGCAGCUGGCUACACAUAUAUUGACACUGAGGCACGAAAGCGUGGGGAUCAAACAGGAUUAGAUACCCUGGUAGUCCACGCCCUAAACUAUGGAUACUCGACAUACACGAUACACUGUGUGUGUCUGAGCGAAAGCAUUAA
rnacentral:rRNA from 1 species